rnacentral:rRNA from 1 species
UAUUAAAGGUCCAACCUGCCCAGUGAAUAUUUCAACGGCCGCGGUAUCCUAACCGUGCAAAGGUAGCAUAAUCACUUGUCUUCUAAAUAGAGACUUGUAUGAACGGUCAAAUGAGGGCCUAACUGUCUCCUGUAGCUAAUCAAUGAACUUGAGCUUACAGUACAAACACUGUAAUACAACUAUAAGACGAGAAGACCCUGUGGAGCUUAAAGCUACUACAUUAACUUAAUACCGCGACCAUUAUGAGUAUAAUGUAAACUUUAAGUUGGGGCGACUAUGGAGUAAAAAAAACCCUCCAUGCAACACGACUAAAACUCGCCAUUCUAGGCCAACAAGCCAAUCCAAAAAGACCCAGUAAAACUGACUAUCGAACCAAGUUACCCCAGGGAUAACAGCGCCAUCCCCUUAAAGAGUUCACAUCGCCAGGGGGUUUACGACCUCGAUGUUGGAUCAGGACUUCCAAGUGGUGCAGCCGCUACUAAAGGUUCGUUUGUUCAACGAA